GGGCGCUGCCGCCGCCGCGCGGGCCUGCCCUGGGCGCGCGCUGGCCGCCCCGCCCUGCCGUGAGGGGGUCCCGGGGAGGGGGGAGGCCGCGGUUGUCGCCGGCCGCCGGUCCUGGCAGCCGGGCGGCUGGGCUGGCGGUCGCCGUCCUCGGGGGCAGGGCGAAGCCCGGGGAGGCCGCCUCGGCCCUGAGGGGGCUGCGAGGCAAGGGCCGUGCCUCACGUCUCAGGGGCCAAUGUCCGGCAUGGCCGGGGGCCUGGUGCUCGGGGAAAGGAUGAGGGACGUGGCAUGACUGCGGCCAGAGAUCCAGCCGAGCUCUGCCCACGCUGUUCCCCAGCAUCAUGGCCCCCGCUGCCCCGCAGGGACACCCGAUAGGUGACACCCACCAGAACAAGGACAACUUCAUGUGAUGUCCACCAUAUUGACAGCCUCCCUGUGCUGCUCACCAUACUGAUCCUCCCAUCAGCAGACUUCAGAGCUCCUGACCCUUUGUGGCAAUCAUGAACACAGCUGCUUCAGCGAACACUCCUCUCCAUUGGAAGGGCAAAACAAUGUUCAAGGGAGGAUGUGACAUAGAGCUGAUCACAUCCUCCGAGAGACAAAAAAAGAGAGGGCUUGAGCAAAGAAUGAAGAAUGCCAGAGAGGAAGGCAGUCAAAAGCUUGGAGAUACAGUUCCUCAAAGGUGUGCAAGGCAUAUGCACCUCCUGAAGAGCAUGGGCAAAGAUUGCUUUGUGGCCUCUUAAGUAUUUUGCAGUCUCUUCUCUUUUAAAUCCAUGUUGUUGGAUGUGACUUUUGCUAAAAACAACAAGGCACAAAUGCCUACCUCGGCAUGUCACAACUUUUUUGACCAACCCACAUAGACAAACUGGAGACCUUGAGAACAUACGCUUCCAUUCUGUAUAAACAGUUUAAAAUAGAUUUUAGCUUUGCACAGCAUUACGUGCAGUUACUAUUUUUAAAUGCACACCAAUUGAUCCGAUGUGUUCAUUCCUUUUUUGCGUGUGCCCUCCAUUCAUGCUUUUGAGUCUCGUGUAGGUUCAAGUGCCUGACUUAUCGUGAAAACCAAUAUAUCCAUACAUUUUUAAUUAAUUCAGAAUACCUAGAUUUCCCUCCUCUCCACCAAUAUAGUUAAAUAUAUGUAUGAAGCAUGAAAAAAAUCCUUGCACUAUGUCAUGUGCACAUUAAAAUAUGUGCAGCAAUUGUAAUUAAAACCUCUCACGAACAUGCCAACAUUGUUGACAACUUGCCUCUAGCCUCAAGGAGGGCAGUACAUCCCGCUGUCUCUGCACAUCCCAGAGAUGCCUCUACGUUGAGGUGGCUCAAAGCAUCCACCAGCUCUGCUUGCUUCCUUCUUCAGGCCCAUCUGCAAGCCUCCGCCCUCGUACUAGCAAAUAUUUUGGUAGCUGCUUAUUGUAUCUUGCAGAAGGGGCAGUUACUUCUCAUCCCCAGGCAGCCUCUCCAUCUGUCUUUCAGUCAUCCACCUGCAGAUUUCACUGCCAUUCUGGAACUGCUAAGGCCAGGGUGGGAAGCUCUUUCUGCUGUCCAAAUAGCAUGUGAAAUCUUGCUGGGCCAGGAAGCAGAGGCCAAGGGUGCAUCCCAGAAUGACACAUCCCAGAAUGAGCACACAGAGAGUCAGUACACAGGAAAGGGCCCCGCAGCUGCAGGACAUUCCUCAUGGAAGGAAAGCAGCCUUGGACAUUGGAAAGUGCCACACACACACUGCUGGUUUUCACAGAUCCGCAGUGCUGGCUCAGCCCCAGCAGUCUGCUGCUUCAGGAAGAGAUCCACGAGAAACAUCUGCUGGAUUUCAACUUUUUCCUUUUCAGAUGCCCUGUUACACUCACUCUGAAGUCACUGCAUGACGUAAAGGCAGGAAUCCAAAGAGCCUACUGCAAACUGAGCUGUGAGGAUUGCUCUGAUCGCGAGUGUUUCCUGCCAGCUGCUGACAGCCCUUUGAACAUAGUAAGGUCUAGCUCACAAACACUGGUGGAUAAAUAGAACUUGGCAAGAGAAAUCAGGAGAAUGAUUUGGUUUGCACCAGGCCACUGUAUCCCCUUGCUUUCUGCAAAAGAUCCCAUAGCAGCAGAGCAAUGCGCUAUGGGAUGCAGAACAGAAAACAUAUUUCUGGAAGCAGCCAGCAAUGCCAAAAGACUGCAGCUAAGUAAUGGCAAAAGACAUUACUUGCAGGGCAGUGAGGUGGAACGUACGUGCUGAUUGUCAGUAUUACUGCAGCUGGGUUACUGUGGAUAUAUGAAGCGCACAGUCAUGGGGCAUCUACUCAGUAGAUGCUCAUAAGUUUACUCUUAAGACAGACUGCCACAAAUGGAGGAACAGAAAUCCCUGUUCCUGCUAUAUGGCUGGUGUCUGAGCAGCACAGGCAGAGGGCUUUUUUUUCACUGUGUCCUUUAGCCUGGCUUUUGCUUGGAAACUGCAGGAGAAAACCAAGGAGGAUGAAUUAUGCUGCUGUGAAAAUACUCAGUGCACAUCUCUAAUCAGGCAAGACAGAAUAGCGCUUAAAGAAGAGUCCCAGAGCUGAAAAGAAACAAGACCUGGUUAUGAGGUAACAUUAGGUACAGACUUUGCGCAUUAGUAUUUACUAAGUUAGAAAAAUUUAAAGCUCUCAU